UCACCUGUUUUUCAAAAACAUGUCUUAAAGAUAAAAAUUUUAAGUCAAAUCUGCUCAAUGAAAUUAAACUUUUUAAUAGCUGCAGUAUAUAUAACUGUACUAAGGUAGCAUAAUAAAUUGUUUUUUAAUUAAAAACUAGAAUGAAUGAUUUAAUGAAAUAUAAACUGUCUCAAAUUAAUAUUAUAAAAUUAUUAUUUAAGUAAAAAAACUUAAAUAAAUUUUAAAGACGAGAAGACCCUAAAGAAUUUAAUUAUUUAUUUAAAUAAUAAUAAAAUAAAUUUUUAAAUUAAAUAAUUUAAUUGGGGAAAUUUUAAAAUUUAAUUAAUUUUUAAUUAAAAUUACAAUUAUUUUUGAAUAAAUAAUUUUUUUUAAAAAAAAAAAUUAAAUUACCUUAGGGAUAACAGCAUAAUUUUUUUAAAAAGUUCAAAUUUAUAUAAAAGUUUAUGACCUCG
rnacentral:rRNA from 1 species